rnacentral:rRNA from 1 species
CCUACGGGUGGCUGCAGUGGGGAAUAUUGCACAAUGGGCGAAAGCCUGAUGCAGCAACGCCGCGUGAAGGAAGAAGGGUUUCGGCUCGUAAACUUCUAUCAACAGGGACGAAAAAAAUGACGGUCCCUGAAUACGAAGCCCCGGCAAACAACGUGCAAGAAGCCGCGGUAAUACGUAGGGGCCAAGCGUUAUCCGGAAUUACUGGGUGUAAAGGGGGAGUAGGCGGCAUGGUAAGCCAGAUGUGAAACCCGGAGGCUUAACCCCGGGAUUGCAUUUGGAACUGUCAAGCUAGAGUACAGGAGAGGAAGACGGAAUUCCUAGUGUAGCGGUGAAAUGCGUAGAUAUUAGGAGGAACACCAGUGGCGAAGGCGGUUUGCUGGACUGAAACUGACGCUGAGGCACGAAAGCGUGGGGAGCGAACAGGAUUAGAUACCCCAGUAGUC